UACAGAGGUCCCAAGCGUUGUUCGGAUUCAUUGGGCGUAAAGGGCUCGUAGGCGGCCAACUAAGUCAGACGUGAAAUCCCUCGGCUUAACCGGGGAACUGCAUCUGAUACUGGAUGGCUUGAGUUCGGGAGAGGGAUGCGGAAUUCCAGGUGUAGCGGUGAAAUGCGUAGAUAUCUGGAGGAACACCGGUGGCGAAGGCGGCAUCCUGGACCAACACUGACACUGAGGAGCGAAAGCCAGGGGAGCAAACGGG
rnacentral:rRNA from 1 species